AGCAGCCGCGGUAAUUCCAGCUCCAAUAGCGUAUAUUAAAGUUGUUGCAGUUAAAAAGCUCGUAGUUGAAUUUCGGAAUCUGUCCGUUGGUCGGGCUUAAUUGUCCGUACUGAUGUGAUGGGUUCUUACCUUCUGAAUAACCAGCAUGUCAUUAAUUUGGUGUGUUGGGGAAGCAGGACUAUUACCUUGAAAAAAUUAGAGUGCUCAAAGCAGGCUAGUGCCUGAAUACAUUAGCAUGGAAUAAUAAAAUAGGACGGCAUGGUUCUAUUUUGUUGGUUUCUAGGAUCACCGUAAUGAUUAAUAGGGAUAGUUGGGGGCAUUAGUAUUCAAUUGUCAGAGGUGAAAUUCUUGGAUUUAUUGAAGACUAACUUCUGCGAAAGCAUUUGCCAAGGAUGUUUUCAUUAAUCAAGAACGAAAGUUAGGGGAUCGAAGACGAUCAGAUACCGUCGUAGUCUUAACCAUAAACUAUGCCGACUAGGGAUCGGACGAUGUUAAUUUUAUAAUGACUCGUUCGGCG
rnacentral:rRNA from 1 species